rnacentral:tRNA from 1 species
AGUCCCGUAGUGAAGAACACAUUGGAUUGCAAAUCCGGAGAUGUAGAUUAAUAAUCUACCGGGGCUU